GUCCACGCCGUAAACGAUGGAUAUUUGACGUCAGCUUGCUAUGCGAGUUGGUGUCGUAGCUAACGCGAUAAAUAUCCCGCCUGGGGAGUACGGCCGCAAGGUUGAAACUCAAAGGAAUUGACGGGGGCCCCGCACAAGCGGUGGAGUAUGUGGUUUAAUUCGAUGCAACGCGAAGAACCUUACCUGGUCUUGACAUGUCCGGAAUCCUGCAGAGAUGCGGGAGUGCCCGCAAGGGAAUCGGAACACAGGUGCUGCAUGGCUGUCGU
rnacentral:rRNA from 1 species